UAAGAAGGAGGGGCACCCUGUCUCCAAAGGGGACCUUUUGUCUCUUCUAGGAUGCAAAGGAAGUCCCCAGGAGGACUUUCAGACACUUCCUGAAGGUCAGGGGGGAGAAGAAGGAGGGGAGGUUUUCUGAGUGGUGCAGCAAGGCUUCAGAGAGGGCAGCUCGUUGGUUUUCAGGCUCUCGAAAGAGGGCCAGGCAGCGCUGAUAGAAGGCCCAUAGCCUGGGAGCUGCGGCUGCAGGCAGAGAUCCCAGGCUUCCUGCCUUUUCUCCUGAAGAGCCCAGAAGUCUCAAAGCUGGACCUGUGAGGAGGAGGUGCUCACCAGACGGAGAUUUCACUGCAGUUUCCAGCACAGGAUUCUAACAAUGGCCACUAGUGUGGCCCUGGGCUGGGGCAGGGUG